UACGUAGGGACCAAGCGUUGUUCGGAUUUACUGGGCGUAAAGGGCGCGUAGGCGGCUUAACAAGUCACUUGUGGAAAUCUCCGGGCUUAACUCGGAACGGCCAAGUGAAACUGUCAAGCUAGAGUGCAGAAGGGGCAAUCGGAAUUCUUGGUGUAGCGGUGAAAUGCGUAGAUAUCAAGAGGAACACCUGAGGUGAAGACGGGUUGCUGGGCUGACACUGACGCUGACAGCGCGAAAGCUAGGGGAGCGAACGGG
rnacentral:rRNA from 1 species